UACGAGGGGUGCAAGCGUUAUUCGGAUUUAUUGGGCGUAAAGGGUGCGUAGACGGUUUGUUAAGUCUGUUGUUAAAUCCCCCGACUUAAUCGGGGACAGGCAAUGGAAACUGGCGAACUAGAGUGUGGGAGAGAGAAGUGGAAUUCCCGGAGUAGCGGUAAAAUGCACAGAUCUCGGGAGGAACACCAAUGGCGAAGGCAGCUUCUUGGCCCAUAACUGACGUUGAGGCACGAAAGCGUGGGGAGCAAACAGG
rnacentral:rRNA from 1 species